GGAAGUAUGCCCGAAAGUUAAGGAUCUCCUUGAUAGGGAGCACCACAGGUGUUCAAAUCA
rnacentral:tRNA from 1 species